UCGGAAGAGGAUGGGCAUGCGGCGCAUUAGCUAGACGGCGGGGUAACGGCCCACCGUGGCGACGAUGCGUAGGGGUUCUGAGAGGAAGGUCCCCCACACUGGUACUGAGACACGGACCAGACUCCUACGGGAGGCAGCAGUGAGGAAUAUUGGUCAAUGGGAGAGAUCCUGAACCAGCCAAGCCGCGUGAGGGAAGACGGCCCUAUGGGUUGUAAACCUCUUUUGUCGGAGAACAAAACCCGGGACGUGUCCCGGACUGCGUGUAUCCGAAGAAAAAGCAUCGGCUAACUCCGUGCCAGCAGCCGCGGUAAUACGGAGGAUGCGAGCGUUAUCCGGAUUUAUUGGGUUUAAAGGGUGCGUAGGCGGUCCGUUAAGUCAGCGGUAAAAUUGCGGGGCUCAACCCCGUCGAGCCGUUGAAACUGGCAGACUUGAGUUGGCGAGAAGUACGCGGAAUGCGCGGUGUAGCGGUGAAAUGCAUAGAUAUCGCGCAGAACUCCGAUUGCGAAGGCAGCGUACCGGCGCCAGACUGACGCUGAGGCACGAAAGCGUGGGGAUCGAACAGGAUUAGAUACCCUGGUAGUCCACGCAGUAAACGAUGAAUGCUGGUUGUCCGGGUCGAAUGAGAUCUGGGCGGC
rnacentral:rRNA from 1 species